rnacentral:rRNA from 1 species
UACGUAGGGGGCAAGCGUUGUCCGGAAUCAUUGGGCGUAAAGAGCGUGUAGGCGGUCCGGUAAGUCGGCUGUGAAAGUCCAGGGCUCAACCCUGGGAUGCCGGUCGAUACUGCCGGACUAGAGUUCGGAAGAGGCGAGUGGAAUUCCCGGUGUAGCGGCGAAAUGCGUAGAUAUCUGGAGGAACACCGGUGGCGAAGGCGGCAUCCUGGACCGGUAUUGACGCUGAUGCGCGAAAGCCAGGGGAGCAAACGGG